rnacentral:rRNA from 1 species
GUGGGGAAUCUUCCGCAAUGGACGAAAGUCUGACGGAGCGACGCCGCGUGAGUGAAGAAGGCCUUCGGGUCGUAAAGCUCUGUCAUCAGGGACGAAUGGCCGGUGGAGUGGAAAGCCACCGGAUUGACGGUACCUGAGAAGGAAGCCACGGCUAACUACGUGCCAGCAGCCGCGGUAAUACGUAGGUGGCAAGCGUUGUCCGGAAUUAUUGGGCGUAAAGCGCGCGCAGGUGGGAUCUUAAGUCCAUCUUGAAAGUUCGGAGCUCAACUCCGUGAUGGGAUGGAAACUGGGAUUCUUGAGUACCGGAGAGGAGAGCGGAAUUCCCCGUGUAGCGGUGAAAUGCGUAGAUAUGGGGAGGAACACCAGUGGCGAAGGCGGCUUUCUGGACGGUGUCUGACACUGAGGCGCGAAAGCUAGGGGAGCGAACGGGAUUAGAUACCCGAGUAGUCC